UAGGGAAUCUUCGGCAAUGGGGGCAACCCUGACCGAGCAACGCCGCGUGAGUGAAGAAGGUUUUCGGAUCGUAAAGCUCUGUUGUAAGUCAAGAACGAGUGUGAGAGUGGAAAGUUCACACUGUGACGGUAGCUUACCAGAAAGGGACGGCUAACUACGUGCCAGCAGCCGCGGUAAUACGUAGGUCCCGAGCGUUGUCCGGAUUUAUUGGGCGUAAAGCGAGCGCAGGCGGUUUGAUAAGUCUGAAGUUAAAGGCUGUGGCUCAACCAUAGUUCGCUUUGGAAACUGUCAAACUUGAGUGCAGAAGGGGAGAGUGGAAUUCCAUGUGUAGCGGUGAAAUGCGUAGAUAUAUGGAGGAACACCGGUGGCGAAAGCGGCUCUCUGGUCUGUAACUGACGCUGAGGCUCGAAAGCGUGGGGAGCGUNCAGGAUUAGAUACCCUGGUAGUCCACGCCGUAAACGAUGAGUGCUAGGUGUUGGAUCCUUUCCGGGAUUCAGUGCCGCAGCUAACGCAUUAAGCACUCCGCCUGGGGAGUACGACCGCAAGGUUG
rnacentral:rRNA from 1 species